rnacentral:rRNA from 1 species
UACAGAGGUCUCAAGCGUUGUUCGGAUUCAUUGGGCGUAAAGGGUGCGUAGGCGGCGUGGUAAGUCGGAUGUGAAAUCUCGGAGCUUAACUCCGAGACUGCAUUCGAUACUGCCGUGCUUGAGGACUGGAGAGGAGACUGGAAUUUACGGUGUAGCGGUGAAAUGCGUAGAUAUCGUAAGGAAGACCAGUGGCGAAGGCGGGUCUCUGGACAGUUCCUGACGCUGAGGCACGAAGGCCAGGGGAGCAAACGGG